rnacentral:misc_RNA from 1 species
GAUGAAGAACGUAGCGAAAUGCGAUAAGUAGUGUGAAUUGCAGAAUUCAGUGAAUCAUCGAAUCUUUGAACGCACAUUGCGCCCUUUGGUAUUCCAAAGGGCAUGCCUGUUCGAGCGUCAUUUGUACCCUCAAGCUUUGCUUGGUGUUGGGCGUCUUGUCUCUAGCUUUGCUGGAGACUCGCCUUAAAGUAAUUGGCGGCCGGCCUACUGGUUUCGGAGCGCAGCACAAGUCGCACUCUCUAUCAGCAAAGGUCUAGCAUCCACUAAGCCUUUUUUUCGACUUUUGACCUCGGAUCAGGUAGGGAUACCCGCUGAACUUAAGCAUAUCAAUAAGCGGAGGA